AAGAGAGAAAUAAAUAAAUGGCGCAGGAAGAAAAAGAUGGGAUUGGUGUGGACUGCCCGAUUCGUGGCUCUACUGCAUGUGACAUUUGCCGCAAAGCUCCAGCUCUCUCUGCCGGAAAAGCUGUACGUGACGGAGGGGACGAGCUUGACUAUCAAUUGCUCUUUCUCACCACCACCGACUGACCUGAAAUACAUCAUUGUCAAGUGGUCUAUGAUGCCCACGUACUACUCGAAGAACAUGUCCAUGCACGACAUCACCAAGAUCUACAACUCAGGAAUCGAAAUUGCCAGUACCGGAGUGGCCAAGUUUGUGGGCAACGUGGAGAAGGGCGACUGCUCCCUGAGGCUCCUGUACGUCUCCUCGAGCCUCAACCCCGUGUUUAGGUGCCAGGUGAUCUGCGGACGGUGCAACACGGAGAAUAACGUGGUGGAAGGAGAGGUGAUGCUGAAUGUGAUGGCUGCAGCCCCACAGCCACGCGGUGGGGACGUGAGUAACGCCACUUUCGAGCUUGAGGCGGUGACCUCGAAUGCACCGCUUUUUUUCUCCACGAAGAGGACUGGACUGGUGGCAGCGGUGGCAGUGGUGGCAGCGGUGGCGGUACUGGGCUUGGUAGCUGCGGCUAUCGUCAAGUUCAAGCACCGAAGUCAGGGAGCUCUGCAUUCUCACACAGCUGAAGCUCAAGAGGGCGAUCCCACAAGGCGAACACCGUGGUGAGAUGUUAACUACCUCGCCUGGGGUACAGGAGGUCAAGCUGAAGCUCAAGAGGGCGAUCCCACAAGGCGAACACCGUGGGUCUGAUGAUGCUGCUGAUGAUAGACAUCAUGAAGAUCGGACUGCUGGGCCUGACGUGAACAUCAGCUCGGUUUGACACGACACCCCCCCCCAACCCCACUUUUACGCGAUCAACCCUGAACAUUCUCCAAGCCACGCUUUGGAGGCCAAGAAGAGGGCCAGCAAAGGCCCCCCGGGGGGGUGGGGGGUGGGUCUGACUCCGUGAGUCUCACAGAGGGCGUCGUUGUCCCACGAUUGUCGACCCGCUGCCAAACUAUCCUCCCGAACGAAAAUAUGGAAUUUUUUUUUUAUCUUACCAGGUAAGGCCACACUGAGCUUCAGAAGUCACCUGAUCAUCAGAAAUGAUAGCUGCUCAACGAAGCGGCUCAUCAUCAUUGCAUGAUAAUUUAUUCUGGCAGCUGAAUUACUCUUGAAACACGUGGCGACGUCGAUUCUAAAUGUGGAGGGGGAAAAAACGGAGGACCCUGGAGAAAAAUCCACGCGACCACAGGGAGAGAGGGAGAAGACACGGAAACUCCAAAUAUACAGCAGGCGUCGGGGUCCGGAUGAAACCCCUGACCUCCUGCAUACCAGGUGAGAGAGUUAACAUCUCCCCAACUCAUUUCCAGCAUUGACGAUUCAACCCUCUCGGCUGCUGCCGCCCUUGGGCACCGUCCGGCUGUCCAUGGCCUGCUUUUGAAGUCGGUCAAACCAUCGGCUGACAUCAACGCUAUGUUAAAACAGUGCGAGUACGUGUAUAUAUACAGUUGUGGAGAGCGGUGGUGUAGCGGUUAGCGUGUUGCGCUACGAACCUAGCGGCCCGAGUUCGAUUCCCGCUCACGACCAACACCAGUGACGAUUAUCUGAACCGGUCCUGGGCCUCCCCUAAGUCGACUCCGUCUCAAAUGAGUACUGAGCGCGGUUUGUGUAUAACUUCGCCACUGGGGAGACAAAGGCGGCCGGGCGUGGUGCUGGCCACCCACCCCCUCGUGGGCCGUAUCGGCCUUCAUAGAUGCUCGCUAACUUUCCCCUACAGUCUGUUAAGGCUAUACAGGGGGGAUCUUUCUUUAAGGUACGAACAACUUUGUGAACUCAUUCGUUCCUUAGUAGAGCACACCGGUGUGUUGAAGAGUAAAUCCACAACAUUUGCAUUUACUAUUUGCAAAUGGUAAAUGUUGUAGUGGGUUUACUAUCCAAUACACAACCGGUUAGUGCUGAACUAGUAACUAAUAGGCAUGUUUUGUUUACGUGACAAACCCUCACUAAUGAACUAUAUCGGGUGGUGGUGGUGGCGGUGUAUGACGACACAUUCAUAUUUACGCGAUCUAACCAAACAAAAACCUCUUAUGGAUAUAAUUUGGUUGUGAAAGCCUACUUACGUGUGCAAUUAACUUUGUGAGCUGCCAAUUUGUGUCACCUCACAGGUUUUUACGCGCGGAUCGCAUAGCCGCCCCCCUUUACAGCACAGGGUACUAAACCUCGCAAACAUGGUGCUACGAACCGCUGACCUCUCAAGGAAUUUCCUCGGCGGCAGAGGAAUUGUGCUCCGAUCCGUCUCGUCGCCGUCGUCGCUGCCCUCUUCGCUAGAUAUUGCGCUGCUAGACAGUAGUUGGCUGUCUCAGUCAGCGCCGUCAGUAUUAGGCGACUAGUGUUGUGUCCAGGCUAGGCUAAGCGACUGUGGAGAGUGUGCAGGUGUGAUGCCGCCGCCACGAAGCCGUUCAACAGGCGCCCUAGCUACGACCUCGCCACCACCAAGCGACGGAGCCAACCCCGCGUCCCCCUCACCUCACCUCACAUGAAAAGAGCGCCCUACUAGGACCCUGGAGCGGUUUGUAUGCCCGGUUGUGUGUGCAGAACGGAGUGGUACGGGAGUUAACCGAGGCCGGCUAGCCGGGGUGCAUCUGUGUCCCUGCCCAGGUACGACUCCAGCUGCUACGGCUGGUGCAUGAUCACCCGCUCGGGGGCCAUGACGGGGAACGACACACUCGAGAGACCCUGCGUCGCCAGUAUCUCUGGCCCAAAUUGGCACAAGACGUGGCCGCCUGGGUACAGGGCUGCCUCGCCUGUCAGCAGUGCGGGCCGAAGCCGGCACGAUAUCAGGUACCCCUAAGGCCGUUCCGCGUCAGCCGCACGAACCAGCUGGUCGGGAUCGACCUACAGGGGCCAUUCCCGCGGUCCCAUCGAGGCAACCGGUAUAUCCUAGUCGCAGUGGAGUAUUUCACCCGCUACCCCGUGGCAGUGGCCAUCCCUGAUUAAACGGCCCUGGUGGUGGCCCGGACAUUCAUGGAGCAUUACGUACUUAAGCACGGGAUCCCAGAACGAGUCCUCACCGACCAGGGUAGCGAGUUCAAGGCCGAGCUGUUCCAGGCACUGUGCCGAGAAUUCGGAAUCCAGAAGGACCGAACCACAGCGUACCACCCCCAAGCGAACGGUAUGGUAGAGCGCAUGAAUCAGACCCUAGCAGGGAAACUCAAACGUAUGGCGGCCGCAAAUCAACGGGAUUGGGACGAACACCUCCCCUACGCCAUUUUCGCCUACGCCACCACCGUACACACGUCAACGGGACAAACCUUGUUUUUAAUGAUGUUCGGCUGUGAGUCUCGUUUACCCGCAGAUCUGCUAUUCGGCGUUCCUUUCCCCCAGCCGGAGGAGGGAAGCCGCCCCGUGGAACACCUGAUGGAGACCCUGCGAGAAGCCCGAGGCCGAGCAUACCCGCAAGGGGAAGCCGCGCAUCGGCGGCAGGAACAGGGCGCCCGACCCCGCAUGGAACCCCCCUUAUUCCUGACAGGCGCUAAGGUAUGGCUACACACCCCUCGCGUCGGGGCCGGGCAGGUGGGGAAACUGACGACCUACUGGCGGGGACCCUGGACCGUGGUGCGGCAGAUCUCCCCCUGGACGGUACUAAUCUAUGGCGGGGAGAGGGGUCGAGAGACGGUGGUCAACGUCCGCCGCUUAAAACCAUGGAAAGCGGCCCCGGCGAGAGAGAACCCCGUCACCCGAAGGCCCCGAAAUCCCGGGGUACCCGCACCCCUCGUGUUGGGGGGCCUCGCACACUACAUGGGCCCCGCCGGGCUCCCGAGACGCCCCGAUCCAGUCAAGAGACGGCGCGGACGACGGCCCCUAAACCCCCUCCGCUUCUGAGUUUGUACCCCAGCCCGCAGGUACCGAGGGACAGGGAGAGCCGCUGGAGUGGAGGAGGAGGCCGCCGCAGGUGCUGCAGAGGACGGAGCCACCCGCCCCGAAACCAGCCACUAGGUCCGGACGGAUCCCCCGGACCCCGCAGCAUUUCCUCGUGGGCGCGGCUCAAGCAAGGUGCUCCAGUCAACCCGGGACGGGGACUGGCACCUCGGGGGGCUAUGUGAUGCCGCCGCCACGAAGCCGUUCAACAGGCGCCCUAGCUACGACCUCGCCACCACCAAGCGACGGAGCCAACCCCGCGUCCCCCUCACCUCACCUCACAUGAACACACCCGCAUGCAUUUCCCCCCCCCCAUAGAGCUCCGAGGGGAGGUCACCUGACCGACCGGUUUUUAUCCGAGAAGCCCUUAUCGGGAUUAACUUUCACGGUUUCCGGCGAGCAGGGAAUUGGACGACCUCCCCCGACGCUACUUUGCACCGAGGCGCUGCGACCGGCCUUAAGAUGGUAUGGUCGCGGCGAAGGGCAUUCGGCCACCACGGUUGAAACGCAUCCCCCCACACACACCCCCACGGGUCGACGAGACAGGCAGAGGAGGGACGGGGCGGCAUAGUUUAGCGUGCCAAAGCGGGCUCGAGUGCAUAGGUGCCAUUGUUAGGGAAGUUAAAGGAUAGGGCUGGAAUUGCAAAUAAGCAGAGAGGCGACUCGGGCGCAUAGUGCGCAAUUGAUGGGGCAGGUGGUGGAGACAUGCGGAGGCUCCGCGCUUAACUUCCACAGCAGGCCGUUGUGAUGGACGCCGCUGCAUAAUGUGCAUAACUACGACAAUCCUGCAUAAGAAAGCGAUUGAACGGCACCUGCCCCACACACAGUAGGAGGGGGAGCGGAGAGUACGUGGGAAAAGGGGGGGUGGCCUAAGUCCGGGAAUUAGGAUAAAAGGGGGCGAAAACGGAAGACCUGUCUCUCUUACUCCAGGAUCAGGCCACAAGACGCUCUGCAGCCCAGCGACCCGGACGUCCGUGCGACGCAUCGAGGUACGCUGCGAGCACGGGAUCAACGGACCGCCGUGGGCACCUAACAGUGUGUAAGAAGGUGAAGUAGGAUCAUAGCCGAUAAAUAGGGAAUAGGUCCAGGGGUAGUAGAAUAGGCCAGCCUCGUCGAUUCAUACUGAUUUAACAUCAAUUCCCAGGUAGCAGACAAUAAAUCAUUAAUAGCU